GCUGAAUGAUCAAGGAGCUGUGACCAGACCUGCACCUGGGAUGCAGACAGCAACACUGCAGACUGGGGACUGCUCUACCAGGACUUCAAGAGCCACUUUUCUGUCCAAGUUCUCCCCAAGCAGUUUCUAAGCCCGGCUGUAAAAGCACAGCGAAGUGCUGCAGAGCCCAGUGAGGCUGUCAGCUCCAGCACGGAUCUAAUUCCUUCUGACAUUUCACACAGCUCUACUGGAAGCAGC